rnacentral:piRNA from 1 species
UUAAAACCCAUUGGCAGCCAUACUCAGAUGA